GGAUUGUGGCUUAGUGGUAGAGCGCUUGCCUAGCAUGUAUGAGGCACUGGGUUUGAUUCUCAGCACCA
rnacentral:tRNA from 1 species